rnacentral:rRNA from 1 species
UACGAAGGGGGCUAGCGUUGUUCGGAAUUACUGGGCGUAAAGGGCGCGUAGGCGGUGUGUCAAGUCAGGCGUGAAAGCCCCGGGCUCAACCUGGGAACCGCGCUUGAGACUGGCACGCUCGAGUUCGGGAGAGGAUGGUGGAAUUCCCAGUGUAGAGGUGAAAUUCGUAGAUAUUGGGAAGAACCCCGAUGGCGAAGGCAGCCAUCUGGACCGACACUGACGCUGAGGCGCGAAAGCGUGGGGAGCAAACAGG